GUUUAGUGUUCUUCGCGAAUGGGUUCUUCUCAGAGAAAUGCAUAUAUUGACAUAUACAUACAUUCAUAUGCACACAUACAUACAUUCAUAUGCAUACAUUCAUACAUACAUACAUAUGCACACAUUAUACAUACAUACAUACAUACAUUCUAAGAGGUCACAACAAGAUCAGUGGUUAUUGCCACUUCUAAUUGCGGUAGUCAGGCAGAUCAAGGUCAGAUGUUUGUGAAAGAGACAUCUUGUGACAACUGUACUACUGGGUGUGAUGACUCCACCAUCAAGUAUUCUCAUGGGAAAUCAUCAUCAUAUGGGGCUUCAGCUAGGUUGGUGAACGAUAGCUAAUUUUAGUAAAUCUUACAGUGUUGGUGCGUGUAAUUAGAUAAACUGCUGUCAGAUCAAGCCGUUCACCUUGUAGAAGGUUUGGAAUUAGAUAAACUGAACGAGAAGUUUUUACCAAUCAAAGACACUCAUCAGGUCUGUGUUCCAUAACAGCAUCUCAACAGGCAAUUCACCUUUUCAGGCAACACUACCUCUAAACUUUUUCCCUUACGAUCUCUAUUAUUUACCCUUUAUAUGUACUUUCAAGAGUUCUUGAGCCCAAACAGGUUCCAAUAACAGUCUUACUUACCGCUUCCAUAGUAGGAUGCUCCUGGGGAUAAACUACAUCUCCCUCAGAUCAAAUCAGGAACUAACAUUAGAAACACUCCUACAUAGUCACAGACUAGUUUCUGAAAAUAACAGGUCCAUCUCGGAUGGAACUUUAAAAUGGCAGAGACACAACUAGAGUCCUUCAGCCAGUGUUCUCAUUCGAUUGAUUAUUUGGAGUAGCUUUGGAAACUUCAAAAACGGUCAAGCUUUAGGUAUCUGACAUUAUUCUAGAGAUGAACUAUAUUUGGAUAUGAGAAAAAGUACAAGCAAGAUCCACGAUAAGACUAUGUUCCACUUGUGGGAGCAGUUAUGAGAACUAAGUAUACGAACCAGAAAGUUAGGAGCUUAUAAGCUGAGUAUCCAAUGUUUCUGUACGACAAAGAUUAGUAUUCUUCUCUCCUUCUAUUACAAUCGUCACCAUGAAAGUUCUGUUACAUAUCGGCUAGAAUCCCUUGCAGGAAACAUGUUUGGCCUCAAAAGAUGCCAGGCCCUUUGAUUUGCUAAAAAAAGAAGCUCAUGUUAAGAUUAGAUACACUCUGAAUCCAUAUUCUAAAGACUUAUGAAGAGGAAUGGUUUUAUAUCCCAGUCGGUGGGUCCUUGCCAAACACUGAACAAAAGAAUCUCGCCGUUGGUCUGCAGCAAUUGAAGGAACCCUUUCCACUGCAGAAUUCUAGUGAAAAGAGUUAUUUUUUGCUCUGAUUGUGAUGAACAUAGUGGUAUACGUUUCGUGACGUAAAAGCAAACGGGAGACAAAGAAAGAGAAUUUAAUCCAAAAAGCUCAAGACAUGGGGAAGGAACGGACGGAGGAACUUAGCUUCAAACUACACUGGUGAUUGUAGUUUGUGAAAUGCCAAUAAUGGAAGAAGUGCAGCUUUUAAAAGGCAGAGUGGAGCUAAUCACAUAAUAAGAGGUCUUAGAAAUGCUUCGCCUGCUCCUAUCAAAGCAACAAUCGAGACAAUACCUUGUUCCAUAAAGGAGUCUAACCCUGUAAUUCCCCCAAGUGGAGUUAGAAACCGAAAUAUUACAGAAGAACACACUCCCUUCAAGUCUACAUCUUCGUCUGAUGAUCUUACUGAGCUGAAGAAGCCUAAAGCAACUGAAAAUGAACCUUAUCAGAUUUUUUUGUGCGAAUCAAUAUCCAAGAAAGAAAUUGCAGUGAAGAAGAGCGCAAAUUGUUUGCAGUUUGGUGUUAUACAAAGUUUUGAAUUCUCUGUACUUUUGGUUUGUUUUUUAUGUUAUAUAGAUUGAUUAGAUCUAAACUGUGAUUUAAUUUGCCAGGAUGCAGCUAAUAUUGUUUUGAAUAAACCUCAUGGUAUGGCUGUUCAAGGAGGAACUGGGGUCAAAGCCAGUAUUGAUGAACUAUAUGCUGCCACUUGCUUGACUUUUGAUAAAUCAGAAUCUCCUCAGCUGUAGGUGCACAGACUUGACAGAGACUGUAGUGGACUUUUGGUGUUGGGAAGAACACAAACGGCUGCAACGCCUUUUCAUUGUAUAUUCCUCGAGAAAACAACUGGUUAGUGUCGCAUAUGUAAAACCUCUCCAGCAUGCUAUCACUGAAUACCGAGUGAUUGAAUUUUCACCACUUGGUAUGCUUCAUCGUCCCUCAAUGAACAGGGACUACAUAGAGUGAUGGCUUGUCAUAGGUGAAGAACCUGUGAUGGCUCAAUGAACAGGGACUACACCGUCCUCUUUCCUUUGGUGUCUCAAGGAGUCUUGGUAUCUUCUCUCAGUUUCUGUUGCAGUGAAUUCAAGUCCCAUCUCAGAAUUAUAGUUGGAGCAAUCAAAUUUCUUUUCAAUUUCCUAGUUCACAGAAAUGCGAAAUGAUGGUUAUUAGAAGUAUCAGAGUCAAAAUUCCUCUGGAAAUCAGCACAGAAGAAAGUCGUAGAAUCAUUACAGAUUCUGUCAAGAGAUUGAAUUUAUAACUUAGCUCUUGAGGAGGUGUGUGACGUGUGUCUCGUAUCUUAGCUCGAAAGUUGGGAGCAUAACAGAAGCUCCUGAUGGCCUUAGGUUUAUUUCCUGUGAAAAAAACACCAUUGUUCCGUGCAGGUACGAGAGUGGAAUCAGUGAUAUGGUACUAUUGCCUUAGUAAGAACGUUUCCUGACCUUUGUGGCAAAUGCUUGCCACUGUUUCUUCUGGAGAAGCUCUUGCCGUACGAAGUUGGAAGACGUAGAGUGUCCCUGUUCAAGCUGCAUAUGGCUAGAGGUGGAGGUAUAGUAUGAAUCUUUUGAGACUGUUCUGUUUGAAAACUUCAAGUGGAAGACAGUCCGUAUGAUCCAGAGCAGAUGGUUUGCAUGAAUUACGGAGAGUAUGCGAACCAGAAAGUUAGGAGCUUAGAAGCUGAGUAUCCAACGUUUCUGUACGCCAUGCCUAUGACAAAGACAAAAGUGUUAUUUGAGGAGACAUGUCUACCCUCAAAAGAUGUCAUCAUGCCCAUUGAUUUGCUAAAAACGAAGCUCAUGUUAAGAGUCGGUGGUUCCUUGCCAAAAGAAUCUCGCCUUUGGUGCUGCAGCUAGCAUGGUACAUCCAUCCCACAACAGGCUAUUCAGUUGUGAGAUCUUUGUCUAAAACUCCAUAAUACGCAUAUCAGUCAUCGCGGGUAUACUUACUUUCGUCACCAAACACAUCAACAGAAUGGUCAGAUACUCCGCCCAGGUGAUGUGUUGGCUCUGCCAAGAAACCUGCACCAAAACUCAUGAAAAAAUAUUACAUUUACCAAACCGGAUAAGAGAGUUGGGAGUGCAAGAAGCUUCACCAUUCAGGUAUUCAGCCUCGUUCUUUUUGUCCAGUCUUACAUUUUUCCCCUAUGAUUCGCAAGAAGAACGUAUCUUCGCUAUCCACAGAAAGUGUGAUCGUUGUGAUUUCAGAAAACCUUGCAUACGUUCAUGCAUACAUGCAUACGUUCAUGCAUACAUGCAUCAUUACAUGCAUACAUACAUGCAUACAUGCGUACAUAACAUACAUACAUUCAUAUAUCUUUGCUUUUGGUCCACGUGAUUGUUGCGAUUUCGAAACAUAAUGCAUAUAUUCAUGCAUAUCUGCAUCAUUACUACAUCCAUAAAUCAUAUAUAUUUGAUUCCUUGAUGCACAUAAAGUUUGAUUAUUGUGAUAGGGGAACACAUUGUAUACAUUCAUUCGUUCAUGCAUAUUUGAUUCCUUGAUUUCUUGUCUUGUUCAUUUGUUUCAACGGUGCUUCUUUUCUUACUUCCUUGAUUGCUUCCUUACAUGGUCAACUUGUUUACUUCCUUCUUUGAUUCAUAUGCUUUGUUCAUUACGUGUUUCUCUACUUAGUGAUUUGUUGCGUCCUUGAUUUUAUGUUUAGAUCAUUGCUUGCUCUACUUCUUUUUUUUUGGGGUAAAAAUCAUUUUCUAUUUCUCCUUAUUUGCUUUGUUUGCUUCUUUAGUCGCUUCUUUUCAAUGCUUACUUUCUUUGUUUUUUUUUUUUUUUUGCUUCCUUUGUUCUUGAACUAAUUUUUAUAUACGGCUCUCGAAUUAUUAAUUAUUAAUUUAUCUUUUAUUUUUUAAAUAUAAAUUUGUUAUUAAUUUAUCAUUACUAUCGUACAACUUAUGUAAGUUUAGUUUAUAUGUAUGCAAAUUACGUUUUAUAACUCUAAUAUGUAAGUUUAGUUUAUAUGUAUGCAAAUUACGUUUCAAAUUAAUAUUUUAUUUUUAAUUUAAAUAUUUUUAUAAGUUAUAUUUAUAAUUUAUAUGUAUAUUUUAUAUUAAUAAUAUUUUAUUUUUGAAUUAGAAAUGUGAUUUUGUAUAUGUAAUAUCUAGUAGGUUUAAUUACCACUUGAGUAUAUUAGAUUGCAUCUACUUCUUUGAAUUCAACCAUAACAUUUUGUAAAUAUAUUAACAUUUUGAUAUUUUUUUUAAUUUUACAUUUAGGUUGGUUGUUCAGAGUAAAUAUAUAAAUAUAUUUUAGUGAGAUUUGGUAUAACAUAAUGUAUUUUUAUUUUGAGAAUCAAAUAGGGAAAAUAAACUAAAUUGUGGAUUGAUUAAAAAUUACAUAAAAUAAUAUAAAGAUAAAAUUUAUUUAUGAUUAAAUUUAUUCGGCAAGCAAUUGAAAACAAUCCAAAAAUUAUUUAUUAUUUUUAUAUCAUAAACAAAAAAACAGCAUGAUUAUUAUAGACAAGGCUUAAUAAAUAUAGUUAUAUUACUACCACUGUAUAUAUGUAAGUAAUUACUUCUAAUCAGAACCGGAAUAUUUAAUAAAUAAAAAUAUCUAAAAUUAAUGAUAAAAUAUAAUAGAUGCUUAAUAUAUAAUAAGUAAACUAAUAUAAUAAUAAAAUCGAAAUUUUGAAGGUUAUAAUUUAUUUAUCUUAAAAUCAUAAUUGUUUCAGAUAACAUGAUGCUUGGUUUUCAAAUACAAUAACAUUUAAUAAUUCAAACAUACAUCUAGAUUUGUAAUUAGUAACAAUCAAUAGACCUUUCCAUGUUACACAAAUAAUUAAAAGUAAAUUUAGUCAUAAUAAAUCGGCUAUUUUCCAUAUCAUCAAUUUUAAAAUAUCUAAGAAAAAAAAGAGAAAUAACCAAUGUUUUAUGUAUUAACCCUAAUAAAACUAUUCUAUUUAUUAUCCAAGUAGGAAAAAUAUUAAAAAUUAAGUAAAACAAUUAUAUUUUCCAAUUUUAUUAGUGAAACAAAUAUAUGAUAUAUAAGGAAUAUAAUAAAACAAAUAGUGCAGUAUGAGUCUAUAUAAGUUGAUGACAAAAAAACAAUUAGUGAAAAUGUUGUAAAAAAUUAGUGAAAGUUAAACUUACUUAUAAUUUAAAAUAAAUUAAAAUUUUCAAGUUUUACUAAAUAAUAUAUAGUAGAAUAUAUAUGAUUUGUAAAAAAAUCACCAUCUUCGUAGUAAAACAAAAAAAAAUUAUAAUUUUAGUACCAAUAUAUAAAUAAAAAUAUAUAAAACUACACAAUAUGUACAUGAUACUAAUAUAAAAAUCUGACAAGAAACAUAGAAAAGUAGAAAUGAAAUUAGAUGACCUAAAAUAAAAUAAAAGACUAAAAUUGUACACACCAUAAUAAAAAUAAAAACUGAUAUCUUGCAUAUUUGCAUUGUUUUAUCCAUUCAUCCAUUAGCAUUUUCAUCAUAUAAAUUAGGAUUUAGCCAUGUCUAGGUUGCAUUUUGCAUUCAUUGUCCUCAUUAGGUGUUGGAGUGCCACAUGGAUUCUUGGGGACAUUUGGAUGCAUUUGGAGCUUAAAGGACGUGAAACAGGUGAUCAUUGGACGAGCAAGGCAUGGAGCGACCAGUCUGGAGCGACACCACCAAGUCGCUCUGACCUCCCUAUUGGAGCGACCUUACCAGAGCGACAGGGAGAAGUCGCUCGCGGUUUCAUCACUCGGAGACGCGAGAACGAGCCCGGAGCGACCUCCCGGAGCGACACCACGAAGUCGCUCGCAUCUCACACCCCUCUCGGAGCGACCUCCCAAAGCGACACCCCGAGGUCGCUCGCGUCUCUAUGGCGAGACGACACGAAGCGAAGCCUGGAGCGACCUCUCAGAGCGACCCACUGAGGUCGCUCCCGAAGGCCGGAGCGACUUGUCGGAGCGACAUGCCGAAGUCGCUCCGCGCCUAUUAUCUGCUCGAUUUAUAUUUUACUUAAGGGCCUUUUGGUCAUUUCAUUAUGCACGUUUUACAUUUCUAAAACCUAUGUUUUAAACAUCUUUUGUAGCCACCAGAGGCAUAUUAUCUUUUAUCUUUUGAUCUAUUGAAAAAUACACAAGAACUCUCUUGAGAA